ensembl:misc_RNA Metazoa_SRP Metazoan signal recognition particle RNA
GCCAGGCAUGGUGGCGUGUGCCUGUAAUCCCAGCUGCUUGGGAGGCUGAGGCAGGAGAAUUGCUUGAACCUGGGAGGUGGAGGCUGCAGUGAGCUGAGAUCGUGCCACUGAACUCCAGCCUGGGCAACAGAGCAAGACUCUGUCUCAA